rnacentral:tRNA from 1 species
GGAAGAGGAUCGCACCCUGGUGGGGCGCCCGGACUUCAAAUCCGGUGAGGGACGUUUAACGUGUCUGGUGGGUUCGACUCCUACCCUCUUCCGCCA